rnacentral:misc_RNA from 1 species
UUUCCGUAGGUGAACCUGCGGAAGGAUCAUUACAGAGUUCAUGCCCUCACGGGUAGAUCUCCCACCCUUGAAUAUUAUACCUUCGUUGCUUUGGCAGGCCGUUGAAACACCAGAGGCUCCGGCUGAUGCGUGCCUGCCAGAGGAAACAAACUCUGUUUUUAGUGAUGUCUGAGUACUAUAUAAUAGUUAAAACUUUCAACAACGGAUCUCUUGGUUCUG